rnacentral:rRNA from 1 species
GUACCGUGAGGGAAAGGCGAAAAGAACCCCGGCGAGGGGAGUGAAAAAGAACCUGAAACCGUGUACGUACAAGCAGUGGGAGCCUCUUUAUGGGGUGACUGCGUACCUUUUGUAUAAUGGGUCAGCGACUUAUAUUCUGUAGCAAGGUUAACCGAAUAGGGGAGCCGAAGGGAAACCGAGUCUUAACUGGGCGUUAAGUUGCAGGGUAUAGACCCGAAACCCGGUGAUCUAGCCAUGGGCAGGUUGAAGGUUGGGUAACACUAACUGGAGGACCGAACCGACUAAUGUUGAAAAAUUAGCGGAUGACUUGUGGCUGGGGGUGAAAGGCCAAUCAAACCGGGAGAUAGCUGGUUCUCCCCGAAAGCUAUUUAGGUAGCGCCUCGUGAAUUCAUCUCCGGGGGUAGAGCACUGUUUCGGCAAGGGGGUCAUCCCGACUUACCAACCCGAUGCAAACUGCGAAUACCGGAGAAUGUUAUCACGGGAGACACACGGCGGGUGCUAACGUCCGUCGUGAAGAGGGAAACAACCCAGACCGCCAGCUAAGGUCCCAAAGUCAUGGUUAAGUGGGAAACGAUGUGGGAAGGCCCAGACAGCCAGGAUGUUGGCUUAGAAGCAGCCAUCAUUUAAAGAAAGCGUAAUAGCUCACUGGUCGAGUCGGCCUGCGCGGAAGAUGUAACGGGGCUAAACCAUGCACCGAAGCUGCGGCAGCGACACUAUGUGUUGUUGGGUAGGGGAGCGUUCUGUAAGCCUGUGAAGGUGGCCUGUGAGGGUUGCUGGAGGUAUCAGAAGUGCGAAUGCUGACAUAAGUAACGAUAAAGCGGGUGAAAAGCCCGCUCGCCGGAAGACCAAGGGUUCCUGUCCAACGUUAAUCGGGGCAGGGUGAGUCGACCCCUAAGGCGAGGCCGAAAGGCGUAGUCGAUGGGAAACAGGUUAAUAUUCCUGUACUUGGUGUUACUGCGAAGGGGGGACGGAGAAGGCUAUGUUGGCCGGGCGACGGUUGUCCCGGUUUAAGCGUGUAGGCUGGUUUUCCAGGCAAAUCCGGAAAACCAAGGCUGAGGCGUGAUGACGAGGCACUACGGUGCUGAAGCGACAAAUGCCCUGCUUCCAGGAAAAGCCUCUAAGCAUCAGGUAACAUCAAAUCGUACCCCAAACCGACACAGGUGGUCAGGUAGAGAAUACCAAGGCGCUUGAGAGAACUCGGGUGAAGGAACUAGGCAAAAUGGUGCCGUAACUUCGGGAGAAGGCACGCUGAUAUGUAGGUGAAGCGACUUGCUCGUGGAGCUGAAAUCAGUCGAAGAUACCAGCUGGCUGCAACUGUUUAUUAAAAACACAGCACUGUGCAAACACGAAAGUGGACGUAUACGGUGUGACGCCUGCCCGGUGCCGGAAGGUUAAUUGAUGGGGUUAGCGGUAACGCGAAGCUCUUGAUCGAAGCCCCGGUAAACGGCGGCCGUAACUAUAACGGUCCUAAGGUAGCGAAAUUCCUUGUCGGGUAAGUUCCGACCUGCACGAAUGGCGUAAUGAUGGCCAGGCUGUCUCCACCCGAGACUCAGUGAAAUUGAACUCGCUGUGAAGAUGCAGUGUACCCGCGGCAAGACGGAAAGACCCCGUGAACCUUUACUAUAGCUUGACACUGAACAUUGAGCCUUGAUGUGUAGGAUAGGUGGGAGGCUUUGAAGUGUGGACGCCAGUCUGCAUGGAGCCGACCUUGAAAUACCACCCUUUAAUGUUUGAUGUUCUAACGUUGGCCCGUAAUCCGGGUUGCGGACAGUGUCUGGUGGGUAGUUUGACUGGGGCGGUCUCCUCCUAAAGAGUAACGGAGGAGCACGAAGGUUGGCUAAUCCUGGUCGGACAUCAGGAGGUUAGUGCAAUGGCAUAAGCCAGCUUGACUGCGAGCGUGACGGCGCGAGCAGGUGCGAAAGCAGGUCAUAGUGAUCCGGUGGUUCUGAAUGGAAGGGCCAUCGCUCAACGGAUAAAAGGUACUCCGGGGAUAACAGGCUGAUACCGCCCAAGAGUUCAUAUCGACGGCGGUGUUUGGCACCUCGAUGUCGGCUCAUCACAUCCUGGGGCUGAAGUAGGUCCCAAGGGUAUGGCUGUUCGCCAUUUAAAGUGGUACGCGAGCUGGGUUUAGAACGUCGUGAGACAGUUCGGUCCCUAUCUGCCGUGGGCGCUGGAGAACUGAGGGGGGCUGCUCCUAGUACGAGAGGACCGGAGUGGACGCAUCACUGGUGUUCGGGUUGUCAUGCCAAUGGCACUGCCCGGUAGCUAAAUGCGGAAGAGAUAAGUGCUGAAAGCAUCUAAGCACGAAACUUGC